rnacentral:misc_RNA from 1 species
AGCAGCCGCGGUAAUUCCAGCUCCAAUAGCAUAUAUUAAAGUUGUUGCAGUUAAAAAGCUCGUAGUUGAAUUUCGGGAUCAAUUAGUCGGUCGUGCCUCUGGUACGUACUGGUUUUAUUGGUUCCUCCCUUCUGACGAAACAUGAUGUCAUUAAUUUGGUGUCGUGGAGAAUCAGGACUGUUACCUUGAAAAAAUUAGAGUGUUUAUAGCAGGCUAACGCUUGAAUACAUUAGCAUGGAAUAAUGAAAUAGGACGUUCGACCCUAUUUUGUUGGUUUCUAGGAUCGACGUAAUGAUUAAUAGGGAUAGUUGGGGGCAUUAGUAUUCAAUUGUCAGAGGUGAAAUUCUUGGAUUUAUUGAAGACUAACUACUGCGAAAGCAUUUGCCAAGGAUGUUUUCAUUAAUCAAGAACGAAAGUUAGGGGAUCGAAGACGAUCAGAUACCGUCGUAGUCUUAACCAUAAACUAAUAGUCCGACUACGGGAGUCGGUAGUGAUAGUUUAAUUUUUAAUUUAGACUCAU